rnacentral:rRNA from 1 species
CUGCGGAAUAGCUCCGGGAAACUGGAAUUAAUACCGCAUACGCCCUACGGGGGAAAGAUUUAUCGGGGAAGGAUUGGCCCGCGUUGGAUUAGCUAGUUGGUGGGGUAAAGGCCUACCAAGGCGACGAUCCAUAGCUGGUCUGAGAGGAUGAUCAGCCACAUUGGGACUGAGACACGGCCCAAACUCCUACGGGAGGCAGCAGUGGGGAAUAUUGGACAAUGGGCGCAAGCCUGAUCCAGCCAUGCCGCGUGAGUGAUGAAGGCCUUAGGGUUGUAAAGCUCUUUCACCGAUGAAGAUAAUGACGGUAGUCGGAGAAGAAGCCCCGGCUAACUUCGUGCCAGCAGCCGCGGUAAUACGAAGGGGGCUAGCGUUGUUCGGAAUUACUGGGCGUAAAGCGCACGUAGGCGGAUAUUUAAGUCAGGGGUGAAAUCCCGCAGCUCAACUGCGGAACUGCCUUUGAUACUGGGUAUCUUGAGUAUGGAAGAGGUAAGUGGAAUUCCGAGUGUAGAGGUGAAAUUCGUAGAUAUUCGGAGGAACACCAGUGGCGAAGGCGGCUUACUGGUCCA